AUUGAACGCUGGCGGCAGGCCUAAUACAUGCAAGUCGAACGAGUGGCGGACGGGUGAGUAACACGUGGGAACCUACCCAUCAGAGGGGGAUAACACUUGGAAACAGGUGCUAAUACCGCAUACUGGUGGAUGGACCCGCGGUGCAUUAGCUAGUUGGUGAGGUAACGGCGAACCAAGGCGACGAUCCCUAGCUGGUCUGAGAGGAUGACCAGCCACACUGGAACUGAGACACGGUCCAGACUCCUACGGGAGGCAGCAGUGGGGAAUAUUGCACAAUGGGCGAAAGCCUGAUGCAGCCAUGCCGCGUGUGUGAAGAAGGCCUUCGGGUUGUAAAGCACUUUCAGCGGGGAGGCGUUACCCGCAGAAGAAGCACCGGCUAACUCCGUGCCAGCCGCCGCGGUAAUUC
rnacentral:rRNA from 1 species